rnacentral:rRNA from 1 species
AUUAGCUUGUUGGUGGGGUAACGGCUCACCAAGGCCACGAUGUCUAGGGGUUCUGAGAGGAAGGUCCCCCACACUGGAACUGAGACACGGUCCAGACUCCUACGGGAGGCAGCAGUGAGGAAUAUUGGACAAUGGUCGGAAGACUGAUCCAGCCAUGCCGCGUGAAGGUUACGGUCCUAUGGAUUUUAAACUUCUUUUGUAUGGAAGCAAUAAGGUGCACGUGUGCAUCGAUGAGAGUACCAUACGAAUAAGCAUCGGCUAACUCCGUGCCAGCAGCCGCGGUAAUACGGAGGAUGCAAGCGUUAUCCGGAUUUAUUGGGUUUAAAGGGUGCGUAGGCGGAUUAAUAAGUCAGCGGUGAAACUCACAGGCUCAACCUGUGCCGUGCCGUUGAAACUGUUUAUCUUGAAUGCGGAUGCUGUGGGAGGAAUGUGUAGUGUAGCGGUGAAAUGCAUAGAUAUUACACAGAACACCGAUUGCGAAGGCAUCUCACAAAGCCGUGAUUGACGCUGAGGCACGAAAGUGUGGGGAUCAAACAGGAUUAGAUACCCUGGUGGUCCACUACUGUAAACGAUGAUAACUCGCUGCCGGCGAUAUAUAGUCGGUGGCCCAGCGAAAGCGAUAA